GGGUUUAACUCCUGCUUGUUACCGUUUCAUCCGGUCGAAACCGAAUGUCGUUUUGGUGUCUGAUUCGGUAAGGAACCGGGAGCACCAUCUGCGUAGGCUUGUGGUUUAAGACUUGCGUCGCCUACGGUCUUGGACAGCCCCCGCCAGGCAGGGACCCCAAUUUUUUUGAUUGGCGCAAUUACUUGCACCA
rnacentral:sRNA from 1 species